rnacentral:lncRNA from 1 species
AACCGUUUUAAUCAAAAGCAAAAUCAUCAGAAAACAACAAAGAAGAAAGAAGAAACCCGGUAGAAAAAAGGAAACUCCAGUGCACCAUUUAAUCUUCUUCGAUGAACUGAAGCAUGGCCUCGAAUGAAAAAAUCAGGCCAGUCCAAACGAACCCAAGCCGAAUCAGUCAUUUGUUUGGGAAGUAUCUCUCGUCUCCUCUGCAAUCACCAUGUCUCUCACCGCCAUCGAGAUGUCCUCCAUCCAAAAGGUAUUUUUCGAUCUGAUAUUCCCCUCCCUUGCAAUAAAAUGCGCCACCCGAUAAGCUUCCCUUCUUGCAUGUUUAAAUCUAAUUUGAUGAAAAGUCCUCCCAAUUGAUUUGAUACCUGUAAUGACAGAAUCCAAAUAUGCUCGAUCAAAACCUUCAUGGUUGAUUUUCUCAAUUACCGUCCUAGAGUCCCCUUCUACCUCCACUUUGGUAAACCCGGUCUCUUUAGCAAAAAGAAGCCCUUGAAAGUUGGCUAUAGCUUCUGCCAAUAACGCAUCAAAGAUAUUGCCAUGGUGAGUAACUCCACUUCCCAUUACCUUUCCUCUUUCAUUUCUAAUAAUAAAACCCGAACAUGAACUCUUCGUUUGGCUUUUGUAGGCUGCAUCAAAAUUCAGUUUAACCCACGAAACUUGAGGAGGUCUCCAACAGUCUGAACCCACCGCAUUCACUACAGGUAAUUUCUCAUUUAACACUCUUAAUUCAUCAACCAUACUUAAGAUUUUUGCUAUUGAAUUCUGCUUUGUUGUUGAAAUACCUUUCGUCACUUGUUUGUUACGAGCCCACCAGAUUGCUCAAAUCGCUAUGAUAACCUUUUCCCAGAUCCUCUCUUCCUUAUGUUGGACUAGGUGAAAAAACCAUUGUAAAAAAGUCUCCAAAUUCAGAUUACUACCCCAGGAAAUACCUAUCCCAGUCCAUAUUUCUUUGACACUAUUACAUUCUACAACCACAUGUAGAAAAGACUCUGAAGUCGUAUUACACCGAGGAUAAAUUGCAGAAGUUCUAAUCCUCCGAUUAAAGAGCACUUGGUCUGUUGGCAAGAAGUCUCUUAAAGCUCGCCACAUCGUUAUUUUGAUCUUAGCAGGCAUAGAUAGAGACCACAUUUUUUUUAACACCAUUUGGGUAUCCUCUGAUAUUUCUGUAGUAUCACUUUGAAGCAUGAGUUCUUUAUAACCACUACGUACAAUAUACUGACCCGUUUUCUCCCCACGCCACACUUGGCAGUCUUUACUUAUAGCUCUAGAAAGAGGAAUGCACUUGAUCGCCUCCACCUCUUCAUUGGAAAAAAGGCUGGUAAUUAUAUCUUCUUUCCAUUUUCGAUUUUCCUGAUCAAUUAGUUCAUUCAUUGUUUGGACUGAAUAAUGAGUAGGACGUGUAUUGAUCUUGUUCCCAGCCAAUUGUGGCAACCAACGAUCAUACCAAAUCGAAAUAUUCUCACUUGUUCCAACCCUCUAUCCCAUUCGACUUUCCAGCAAACCUCGUGCCGCAUAAAUACUUUGCCAAGUAUACGACGGGUGAUUCCUAAGUCUUGCUUCCCAAAAGCUUGACCGAGGGUAAUAGUUGGCUUUAUAAAUUCUAGCUAACAAUGAAUCUGGAUUAACUACUAUCCGCCAUCCUUGUUUAGCUAACAAAUCGAUAUUAAAUUUCCCCAUGUCACAAAAAUUUAAUCCACCCUUCUCUUUAGCUUUGCAUAAUUCAGCCCAACAGCUCUAAUGUAAACCUCGACGAUUACCUCCCUUAUUCCACCAGAAUCUAUUCAUAACUUUUUCCAUAUCAACACACAACGACUUCGGAAGAAGAAAACAAGACAUGGCGUAAAUCGGGAUAGCCUGUAGCACAGCUUUAAUAAAGACUUCUUUACCCCCUUGAGAAAGCAUACGACUCCCCCAUCCGUUCACUCUUUUUCUCAACCUAUCAACUAUAUUUUGAAACGCCUCUUUCUUCUUUCUCCCCACCAUAGUAGGCAAUCCCAAAUACUUCUCCAUACUCGAAACUGUUUUAACACCCACACUAUUAGUUAAAAAAUCUUGACUUUCAACAGAACAAUUAGAGCUAAAGAAAAUUUGAGAUUUUUCCAAAUUAAUCUUCUGACCUGACGCUUUCUCAUAAGCCUUGAUGAAGCCCAUCACCAGUCUACAUCCAUCUUCGUUCGCAUCACCAAAGGUUAUGCUAUCAUCCGCAAAAAAUAAGUGAGUUACCCUCGGACCUCCCCUGCACACACGAGCACCCUUAAUCAAACCAGUCUGCUUAGCUUCCUUUAGAAUUGUUGAGAAACCCUCUGUACAGAUAAGGAAAAAAUAGGAACUCAAUGGAUCCCCUUGUCUAAGACCACGUCCUGGUUGAAAAUGCUCACUCAAUCUUCCAUUAACCAUACCGCAUGCUGGACCGAAGAGAUACAAUGGUAAAUUAAUUCCACCCACUUUUCAUCAAACCCCAUAUUUCUCAUCAUACCCACAAUAAAAUCCCACUCAACUCUGUCAUAAGCUUUGCUCAUGUCUAAUUUUAACUCAAAAGAGCCAUUCUUUCCUUUUCGUCUAUUUUUGAAAGAGUGAAAGAUUUCAUAAGCCGCAACAAUGUUAUCAGUAAUAAGUCGACUAUGAACAAACGCUCAUUGGGCUUCAUCAAUACAUCCAUCCAAUACUCACUUAAACCUGUUUGCAAUAGCUUUCGCAAUAAUUUUGUAGAGCACCGUACAUAAGCUUAUAGGCCGAAAAGACGUCAUACAAUCUGGCGAUGAAACUUUGGGGAUUAAAACAAUGAUUGUAGAAUUAACCUCAUUUAAACUAGCCUCCCUGUUAAGCACAUCAAGACAGAAUUUUGUGACAUCCUCACCUACAAUUCCCCAAAACCUUUGAAAGAACACCGCUUGAAAGCCAUCAAAACCUGGUGCUUUUGUUCCCCCAUUUCCAUGACCGCCCUGCUAAUUUCUUCAGCUCAAAAAGUUUCCAGUAGCAUCCUGUUCAUCUCUGUCGUUAUUAUUUUCUGCACCCCUUCAAAGAUUUCUCGAGCCCCCUUGCAUCCCUCACUGGAAAACAACCCUUUAAAGUUAUCAAUACCAAUCCGCAUCAAAUCAUCUUCCUUCUUCUUCAUUGACCCAUCUGCAUCCUUUAAUCCAACAAACCUAUUUUUACGGCGCCUACUCGAAGCACAAUUAUGGAAAAAACUAGUAUUACGAUCUCCAUAUUUUAACCAAUUCGCUCUACCCCGUUGUUCCCAAUAUAACUCUUCCUUAUCCAUUUCUAAAUUAAGCUCUUAUUUGGUUUGAAUUGUUGCCUCGAUGAUCUCAUCUGAAGGUUCUUCCGCUGUCAAAUUACGCAAACGCCUUGUUAAAAUCUCCAUAACCUCCCCUCUUUCCUUCUUCAAAUGACUUAUCCACCUUUUCAGACCCUCCCCCAUCAUAUUAAGCCUUUCAGGUACUGUCACAUUUUUAUUGGAAUCCCACAAAGUUUUAACUUGCUCAAAACAUGAAUCUUCUAAUAACCAAGCCGUUUCAAAUCGAAACUGACCUCCCAACCUAGAGGAGUUGCUUGAGCCAAUUGAUAAAUCAGUGUCCAAAAGCAAAGGGCAAUGGUCUGAAAUUGAAUUAUCUAUAUGAGUAAGACCGUAGGAUGGGAAAAUAUCAGACCAAGCUCGGUUUGCCACCCCGCUAUCAAGACGUUAUCUAAUAUUAUUAAUCCCAAAAUUUAUUCUUUCCCACGUAUACCAGCGACCAUUGUACCCUAGAUCCACUAGGUCACAUUCUUCCAAAAUAGACCGAAAAGCCUCCAUCUGCCUAUCAUCCCGUAACCGACCUCCCUAUUUUUCUGAACUAAACAGAAUCUCGUUAAAAUCCCCUAUAACAACCCAAGGAAAGUCGUUAUUCACACCCAAUUGUCGUAAUAAGUCCCAAGAUUCAAACCUCCUUCUGCUGUCAGGAAUGCCAUAGAACCCCGUUAGCCUCCAUUUUGUACCAUCCUCAUUAUUAUCAACAACAGCAUCAAUAUAAUUUUUUGAAAAACCCAAAUUAGUAACGUUCACCGUAUUACACCAGCUCAAAGAAAGACCCCUUCUUGAUCCCUAGGCUGAAACAUCAAACCCAUUCACAAAACCAUACUUUCUUCUUAUCCUUUCCAUCCUACUCCUCUCCACUUUCGUCUCCAUAAAGAAGACAAUUUGGGGAUAAUAUUUUUUCAGCACAUGCUGAACUCUCCGAACCGACCCUGGGUUCCCCAACCCACGGACGUUCCAGCUAAAAUUUUCAUAAUGCUCGGCUAACCUGCCUAGCAGAUUCAGCCGUUUGAGUGAAUUGACCUUCCUCUGCCCCAUUUUUCCACCUCAACUCCUGAUCAGGAGACCCAAAGGAAUCAUUAUUGGGCCUGGGUCUCUUUUUCCCGUCUCCUACAAUAAUUGGCAGAUCUUCUUCGGAGAUACCAACCUCCAUCAAAUCUGUCUUACAGCCUUCAUCAAUCAAGAUCUGUUUAGACUUUCCAUAUAAAUUUAACCCCAAAUUUACUCCAUCAUUCCUCAUUAAAUUAUUUCCAAACAUCUUGUUUCUAUCUUUCUCACAUUCAUUUCUAGCAAUUUCUUAAUUUCCUCCCCAAAAUCCGCUUGAAUCCCUUAACCAGAUACUACUUCCCGCCACUGUCCCCCGCCGUGGUGGAGCUCUCAACGAAAUAUCCCACUCUAGAGGAAGCUCCUUCCUUCCUUCCAGCAAUCUUUUGGGACAACAGUUUUCACUAUGUCCUAGUUUUCCACAUAAAAAAUAAAAAGUUGUCAGCCUUUCAAAUUUAAAAGAAACGAAAAACUCUUUUUUUGCUACAACAAGUUUCUUCUUCCUCUUCAGAGAUUGCUGGAUAUCUAUUUUAACUUUGAUUCGCAUAUAAUUCCUUAACCCUCCCGCAAUAGCUUUGACAUCAUAAUCCAUAAAAUUACCAAUGAAAUCUCUAAACUGUUUAGCUAUUGUUGAUGUGAACAUUCUAGGUGGUAAAUUAUGGAUUUCAAUCCAGAAUUCUGUGAAUAACAAAUCCACUUCCAAGAGGUCUUCACCAUGUUUUAAAUGAUGAAAAACAAGUAAGUGAUUGUUAAAGGUCCAUGGGGCACCAUUAACCACCCUGUCAAAAUCCAUUUCACAAUAAAAUUGAAAAACAAAACGUUUCUCCCCCACCUCCGUAAUAGAGAUUCCCCCCAAAGGGUGCCACAGGUUUGCCAUCACGGUCCUCAUUGACUAGAAAUUGAUUGUAGUUGCUGUUAGAAAACAUCCUACUAAGCACAGUUCUAAGAAAGGUUCUCCCUCCCCCACUUCCUCUUCAAUAUCCCAAGCCUCCAUCUCCCUACUAUCCCCUUCCUCCGUUAACCGUAGAUCUACUAACACCUCUUCCAUGCAAGCCGAUAACACAAUACUCUCACUAACACACUAAAACAAACAGAAACCUAAUGCUACACAAGGAGCAUACUAUCAAAACCUAAUUCAAAAAAAAAUUAAACUUAAAUAGGAGCAACUUUAAUCAAUUACUAUAUGAACAUAAUUUAUGCAUUCAUUUAUAGUCUAAAUAUUUUAUCAUAUUUAAAAACUAUCAUAUUUGAGACUUGUUUAAAAUAUGCUUAAAUUUUUAAUUUCUUUAUAGAUGUGGAAAUUAUUUUAUAUUUAAAAAUUAAGAUUCAAUUAUUAAUAUCAAUAAAAAAACUUUCAUUAAAUUUGUUGAUGUAAUAUUUUAAAAUAAAAAAAAUUCAUUCAGUAAUUAGGUAAAAAAAGUACUGUAAUUAACUUAAUUCAACAUGAAAAAAUUAAUAGUGUAAAAAAAUUGAAUUAGCAUUUUUAAAUUAGAAAAGUAGGUUGAUUAAAUUAUUAGGUAAAAUACACCCAAUGUUACUAAACUAUUAAUAAGUUUACGUUUUGGUCACUCAACCUCAAAAGGCUACAAAAUGGUUAUUGAACCAUUCGAAAAUUUUCAUUUAAGUUAUUGAACUAUUCGAAAAUUUUUAUUUAAGUUAUUGAGUUGUUAAGUUUCUUUUUUAAAGUUCGGCUACUGAGCUUCAAGUGACGAUUCAAUUAUCAGUAUGGUGAAUUUGUACCCAUCAAUAAGUAGAAGAAUAUAUCUUAGAUCCAAGUCAGUCUGACGGUCAAUAUCGGAGACUGAGAAGAAAACUAUUUGGAAUUUCGUUCGCAGAUUCGUGACAUUCAAAAUUAUUUCAUAAAAAUAAAAUUUAAUUGUAAAAGAGAAGGGAAAUGAGAGUUUUUUAUUGGUGCAAACAGUACAAACAAAAAAUGUCAUAUAGAAACAAUUUUAAUAGCCUAAUGACUUAAAUAAAAAAUUUUAAAUAAUUCGGUGACCAAAAUGUAGAGUUACUAAUAAUUUAGUGACAUUGGUUAUAGUUUGCUCUUUUUUUUAUUGAUACAAUAUUAGAGUGGGGAAUAGAAAUCACAAAAUUUAAAAUUGUGUCAAAAAGUGUCCGACAAAAGCUUUAAUUAUCAAUUAAUAAAAGUCAAGAACUAAUAUUUUUUACAUUAACAUAUAUAGAUAAAAUGAAGGGAAAUGAGUGAAAGUUGAGGAAUGGGGCACUAUUUUUUUUUCUUUCUUUUUGGUGAUGAAUAAGAAAUUACAAGAUACAACCUACAUCAACAAACUCAAAUCCACAAACGGGGAUAUUUCAAAGACGUGCAGUCUUUAAUUUUUCAAGUGAGUCAAUUUGGCCAACUUAUCAGCUUCCUAGUUCUCUUCUCUAAGUAUGUGACAAAUAUUCAAAUGAUAAAACUGAAAUAAUAAUUAAAGAAUGUUCCUAAUCAAAGUCAAAAUAAAUCUUUUUACGAGACUUUUCUAAAUGACUGUAAUCAUCUCAAAGCUCUCGGUCUGAUCAACACAUUGUCAAAACGUCCACCAAUUAAAAUGAUUAAUCCAUCCGGUACUCCGAAUGAGGCACUAUUUUGUGUUUGGUAGAAAUGGACCUUUUUGAGUUCAUUGAGUAAUAUUAAUUGUAUUCCAUGUGCUUUCUUCACCAAUCAGUUCCAUAAUCAAUGAGAUUUACCAAUAAUAUCAAUAAUUCAUUUCUAUUUACGACUUCAAUCCAAUUUUUAAAAAAAAAAACAGAAUCAAAGACAAAAUACAAUUAAUAAAAUCCAAUUUAUUUUCACAAUUAACAAAAUUCAAAAUCUUUCAAAUAAAAAAACAAAAUUCUAAAUCCAUUCCCAUCUCUCAAAAACAAAGGACCAAAAGCCAAAAAAAUUUGAAUAAACGACAAUCCUUCAAAAAAAAAAACAUUAGCAAAAAACAAACAAACGAAGCUGCUUUGAUAAUAAGGAACAGAGUAUGCUUUUAACGAUCACUGUUUGGACAGUCUCUUGCAAAAUGCCCAGAGCCUCCACAGUUGUAACAAGACAAACCCCCCCCCGGCCGCCACAGCCCUGUCCACAGUCCCUCGCCAUAUGCCCUAUCUCCCCACACUUAAAGCAUCCUCCUCCGCCGCCUCCAUAACCUCCUCUUCUUCCUCUACCACCAGAUCCACCUCCACCACCACAGCGUCCAGAUCUUGUGGUGCCACGAACAGGGUUCCCAUUAGGGCCGGUGACAUCAACAGCCUUGGUCGACCUCCUUCAGAAGAAUCGAAAUGAACUCGACUUCUUCGCCGUCGGCGAGGCUACGAAAACCGUCGGAACGGAUCGACGAUUGGUGAACGAACAACUCCUCGCCGCUGCCAUCCGGCGUUAUGAAACCAAAUCCCCUUUGGUCACUGAACGACUUCACCUUCCCAGUCACCCUACUCUCACCCAUAUUCAGAUCUCAAAGAACAACAAAACCCAAAAAAUCAAAUGAAAAAAGAAUGACCAGACAGGGAACAGGGACAUCUUUAUAUUGCAGACAUUGCAACGCAAAUGGUGUGGCUGCCACGUCAGCCUUCGAAAAAUAUCUUAAUAAAAAAUUAAUUAAUUUAAAUGUAUGUCUUCUUUCUUAUCGCAGACAAAACGAACGGUGGGGAAUUUGGAAUUCUGGAUCAGGUGAAAUAUGGACCGUCAGGUUAUAUUUGUCUGAAAGGAAUAUGAAACUGUCCCAGAUUUUAAUAGGUACAGUUGAAAAAGACUUCCUAUCUAUCUGUCCCAAUGAUAAUAUCACGAAAUUAAUUUUUUAUAUUAUAUAGAUUAUUCGACAGGAAAAGUAAAUAAACAGUGUAUAUAAUUUAAAUUUUUCUUUAUUUUAAUAUUUAAUUUAUUUGUUUUAAAAAUAAUACAGAUAAAUAAAAUGUCAAGUUAAAAUGCAUUACCUAUUAAAAAUACGAAAAUAUAAUAUUUUAAUUAAACUACUAAUAUUCAUUCUUUUUUAUUUAUUCUAAAAACAUUAAAUUAAUUACCUUUUCUGAUUGAGUUUGAGUUCGCGUAGUUGAUAUUGCAAUUAUCAGUGUAAUAGAAUCAAAUAACCAUAAUUAAGAGUGUAAUAGAAUCAAGUCGAGUUUAAGAUGCAAGAAGCUUAAACUUCAUUCAAGUCAGAAGUUAGUUUUUUUUAAGUUCGAGUUUGAUUUGAUAUGUUUAAAACUCGAUUAUUUAUGAUCGAGAUCAAAUUUGAAUUGAAAACUUUCAAUACUAAUUAAACUCGAAUUAAGUAUUAAAUUACUAAAAUUGACAAUAAAAGUAUCAUGGAGGCCCUUGUAAUAGGAGUUGGAUUGCAUUUUACUCCUUCAACUCAAAAAAUGGGCAAAUUAGUCCCUAUAUAUUAGAUCAAAUAGCAAACUAGUCCUAUUGUUAAGAAUUUCAUCUAUUUUUAUUGUUAAAAACAAGACAUUGUAAGUCAACAUCAGGUAUACAUGGCACGUCACAUAUAAUUGUUUGAUUAUUUCAUCAGCAACCCUAAUUUUUAACAGUACAAAUGGAUUAAAUUUUUAACAAAAAAUACCAAUUUGCUCUUUGAUCUAACAUAAAGGGACUAAUUUACCCAUUUAUGAGUAAAUGAGGCAAAAUGCAUUUUUACUCCCAAUACAAAGAUCUUCGUGAUACUUUCCCCUAAAAUUGACUCUUUUGAGCUUAAUUGAAUGGUUUUCAAGCUAAAUCCAAGUAACUUGUGAAGUUGUAAAAAGAUCACGAAGAUCAUUGUACUAGGAGCCAAAUUGCAUAUUGCUCACUCAAAUCUAAAAAUGAAUAAAUUAGUACUUAUAUGUUAAAUAAAAAAGUAAAUCAGUCAUUUUGUUAAAAGUCAUCCAUUUUUAUUGUUAAAAAUUGGUUCGGUAUGUCAGCAUAAGGUACACGUGACACAUCACAUGCAACUAACUACCUGAUUAUUUCGUCAGUCACACCAGUUUGUAACAAUAUAAAUAGAUUAAAUUUUUAACAAAAAGAAUUAAUUUGCUCUUAAAUCUAAUGUAAAAGGACUAAUUUAGCUAUUUUUAAGUAAAUGGUGCAAAAUAAAAUUUUAACUCUAAUGUAAUACUUUUACUCUCUGAUUCGAUAAUUUUUAAGGUUGAUUCGAUAAUUUUUGAGCUAAAUCCGAGUAACCUGCAAGCCUAAAAAUAAGAUUAUCCUAUUUAAAAUCGAUAACAUUGGUGUCAAUAAUGCUAGAUGUAUACUUAUAUACGAUAAUUUUGAAUGAAAGGUAAAAUUGGAAACUUACAAAACUGAAACUAUUUUUUUUUUUUGGCAGUAAAAGCAUUAAUGGAAUCUUUUACCUCUCGAUUGAUACAGUUCCAAUCGACUUUUAGCUUCUGGUAAUAAAUCAUCAAUGUCGGGAUCUCCCGAUAAAUGAGCUUGUUUCGAUGCCCAUUCAAGU